rnacentral:lncRNA from 1 species
CGCACCACCGUCGUCGGUGGAGGAGGCCUUCCUCCCUUAUUUUUCGUACCGAGCAUCUUUUUCUCCUCUCACUUCGCCAGAAAUUUCCCUCCCCCUUCCUUUCCUCUCCACACUUUCAUUUUUCCAUUUCUCAAAGGUUUAGAGAGAGAAAGAGAUAGUAAUCUAGUGAGAAAAGAAGAGAAAGAAAGGAGAAUGGUGAAGGAGGAAACAUUAAGGUUUUAGAAAGGAAUCUAGUAU